UGCCCAACAGCUAGCCCACCAACACAACAACAACCAACCACUAUUUAUAACCCCAAAUACACCAAUGUUUAUAUUAAACAAACCAUUUUUCCCCUUUAGUAUGGGUGACAGAAAAAGGACUUAGGAGCAAUAGAGAAAGUACCGCAAGGGAUCGCUGAAAGAGAAAUGAAAUAAACCAGUAAAGCUAAGUAAAGCAGAGAUUUAACCUUGUACCUUUUGCAUCAUGAUUUAGCCAGCGUGACCCGAGCAAAGAGCACUUUAGUUUGACACCCCGAAACUAGGGGAGCUACUCCAAGACAGCCUAUAUAUAGGGCGAACCCGUCUCUGUGGCAAAAGAGUGGGAUGAGCUUUGAGUAGAGGUGAUAAACCUACCGAACCUAGUUAUAGCUGGUUGCCCGGGAAUUGGAUAGAAGUUCAGCCCCUCGGCUUCUCUUUUCACCACAGUACUACCCCUGUCUGAUACCACAAGAAACUGAAGGAGUUAUUCAAAGGGGGUACAGCCCCUUUGAAACAAGAUACAACUUUUCUGGGAGGAUAAAGAUCAUA
rnacentral:rRNA from 1 species